CCCUCCCCUAAAACUUGCCAGAUGUACAGCUUGUGACUGGUUCUCCUUGCUUGCAAUCCUGCUAAGACCUGUGGCUGAACAAGGACUGGAGGAACCAGCUGGUGGGAAGAUGCAGUGAACCAAUGGAUGAAGAGGAAGAAGAGACUUAUGAUCCAAAUGAUUUCUGAAUUUGUAGUCUAAAAGAAUCUGUACUUGCAUUUUCAAAUAUGCACCUGAUAUUUUAUUAUUAAUUAUGUACUUGUUAUUUUAUUAUAUCAUCACUUGUUUCACUAUUAAAUCUGCAAUUUCUGUAUUAUUAUUAAAUCUGCACUUGCUGUUUCA